CAAAGGCCUGGUCCUGACUUUAAUAUCGAUUCUGACCUAAAUUACACAUGCAAGUACCCGCACCCCCGUGAGAAUGCCCUCCACACCCCAUCCUGAGGGGGAGGGGCAGACAUCAGGCACACGCCAGAGUUGCCCAAAACGUCUUGUUCAGCCACACCCACAAGGGAAUUCAGCAGUGAUUAACCUUAAGCAAUAAGCGAAAGCUCGACUUAGUUAAGGCUAAAUAGGGCCGGUAAACCUCGUGCCAGCCACCGCGGUUAUACGAGGGGCCCAAACCAAUAUUUAACGGCGUAAAGUGUGACUAGAGGGUACAUCAACUAAAGAAAAACGUCCCCUAAGCUGUUAUACGCUAACGGAGAAACUGAAAAUCCACAACGAAAGUGACUUUACUAUCCUUGAACUCACGACCAUUAAGAAACAAACUGGGAUUAGAUACCCCACUAUGCUAAAUUGUAAACAAUGAUGACAAUACUACAAACCUCAUCCGCCAGGGGACUACGAGCGCUAGCUUAAAACCCAAAGGACUUGGCGGUGCCUCAAACCCACCUAGAGGAGCCUGUUCUAUAAUCGACAACCCCCGUUAAACCUCACCGCCCCUUGUUGAAAUUCAGCCUAUAUACCGCCGUCGCCAGCUUACCCCAUGAGGGACACAACAGUAAGCUAAAUAGUUAUUAUCAUAAACGUCAGGUCGAGGUGUAGCCAAUGGAGCGGGAAGAAAUGGGCUACAUUUUCUGACCCAGAAUAUAACGAAAAGUGUAAUGAAAACACACGACUGAAGGUGGAUUUAGCAGUAAAAGGGAAAUAGAGCGUUCCUUUGAAGCCGGCUCUGAGGCGCGUACACACCGCCCGUCACUCUCCU
rnacentral:ncRNA from 1 species